rnacentral:misc_RNA from 1 species
GUACUGACUGCUCCCAACUCAACUCCCUAUAUAUAUUCACGCUAUGUUUACGAGCUUUUUAUUGGAUAAAAUUUUACUUCAUUAAUAAACCACACAAACUCUAAUUAUUUUUAGGAAUGAUAUUUAUUCAACUAUUUUGUUCUCUCUCCUUCCCCUUGAUGAAUGUUGGUAAUUCCUCUGCAACUCAAGGAACUCCACCUCCUCCUUCUAUCACCAUAAUUUUUCUGCAACUCAAGAAACUAUGUUUAAGUUUUCACUCCGUCUGAUUCUGAUUGUGAAUAUGAGAUUGUGUAAAUUGUUUCAAAUUUUUUUUAUUUAUUUAGAGUUGCACUUGGAUUUGGUUGUGAA